UACGGAGGGUGCGAGCGUUGUCCGGAAUCAUUGGGCGUAAAGGGCGCGUAGGUGGCCCGGUCAGUCCGUGGUGAAAGCGCGGGGCUCAACCCCGCGUCGGCCAUGGAUACUGCUGGGCUGGAGCACUGUAGAGGCAGGCGGAAUUCCGGGUGUAGCGGUGGAAUGCGUAGAUAUCGGGAGGAACACCUAUGGCGAAGGCAGCUCGCUGGGACGGCACUGACGCUGAGACGCGAAAGCGUGGGGAGCAAACAGG
rnacentral:rRNA from 1 species